GGCUCAGAACGAACGCUGGCGGCGUGCUUACACAUGCAAGUCGAACGGGAAACGUCCUUCGGGAACCGAGUACAGUGGCGCACGGGUGAGUAACACGUAGGUGACCUACCUAUCGCUGGGGAACAACCCCGGGAAACCGGAGCUAAUUCCGCAUACGCUUUCCAACUCGCGGGUUGGAAAGGAAAGAUGGCCUCUUCAUGAAAGCUAUCGGCGAAUGAUGGGCCUGCGCGUCAUUAGCUUGUUGGUGAGGUAACGGCUCACCAAGGCUGCGAUGACUAGCUGGUCUGAGAGGAUGAUCAGCCACACUGGCACUGGAACACGGGCCAGACUCCUACGGGAGGCAGCAGUGGGGAAUAUUGCGCAAUGGGCGAAAGCCUGACGCAGCAACGCCGCGUGAGUGACGAAGGCCUUCGGGUCGUAAAGCUCUGUCGAGAGGGACGAAACACCGGUGGGAACAAUACCUCGCCGGUUUGACGGUACCUCCAAAGGAAGCACCGGCUAACUCCGUGCCAGCAGCCGCGGUAAUACGGAGGGUGCAAGCGUUGUUCGGAAUUACUGGGCGUAAAGGGCGUGUAGGCGGAUCAAGAAGUCGGGUGUGAAAGCCCUGGGCUCAACCCAGGAAGUGCGCCCGAAACCAUUGGUCUUGAGUUCCAGAGGGGAGCGGGGAAUUCCCAGUGUAGAGGUGAAAUUCGUAGAUCUUGGGAAGAACACCGGUGCCGAAGGGGCCGCUCUGGAUGGAUACUGACGCUGAGGCGCGAAAGCGUGGGGAGCAAACAGGAUUAGAUACCCUGGUAGUCCACGCUGUAAACGAUGUGCACUAGGUGUCGGGGGUAUUGACCCCCCCGGUGCCGCCGCUAACGCAUUAAGUGCACCGGCUGGGAAGUACGGCCGCAAGGCUGAAACUCAAAGGAAUUGACGGGGGCCCGCACAAGCGGUGGAGUAUGUGGUUCAAU
rnacentral:rRNA from 1 species